rnacentral:pre_miRNA from 1 species
AUUUGAAUCACCUGAGCUUCUUGUUAAAAGGAAGAUUCUGAUUCAGGGUUGGGGCUUGGGACUACAUUUCCACCAAACUCCCAGGUGAUGAUAAUGCU